rnacentral:rRNA from 1 species
GACGAACGCUUGCGGCGUGCCUAAGAAAUGCAAGUCGAGCGAGGUUUAGGCUUCGGCCGACGACCUAGCGGCGAACGGUCGCGUAACACGUAAGCAACCUGCCCUAAAGUUGGGGAUAGCCCGCCGAAAGGCGGAUUAAUACCGAAUGUGGAUAUGAUUUCGCAUGUGAUUAUAUCUGAAGCAGCGAUGCGCUUUAGGAUGGGCUUGCGGCCUAUCAGUUAGUUGGUGUGGGUAACGGCCUACCAAGACGACGACGGGUAGCUGGUCUGAGAGGAUGGUCAGCCGGAUUGGGACUGAGACACGGCCCAGACUCCUACGGGGGCAGCAAUUAGGAAUCUUGCGCAAUGGGCGAAAGCCUGACGCAGCGACGCCGCGUGACUGAUGAAGUCUUUCGAGAUGUAAAGGUCUUUUGUUGGGGACGAAGGAAGUGACGGUACCCGACGAAUAAGCCCCGGCUAACUACGUG